AAAAAGACAAACCCUGGAUUUCCAUGUCUAACGUUUGACUGUCCGUCUUAUAUGAAAUUUUUUUAUAAUUAGUAUUUUUAUUGUUGUUAGAUGAUAAAACAUGAUUAGUACUUUAUGCGUGACUUAUCUUUUUAAUUUUUUUCAUAAUUUUUUUAAAUAAGACGGACGGUCAAACGUUGGACACAGAAACCUAGGGUUUGUCUUUUU
rfam:Oryza barthii chromosome 8, whole genome shotgun sequence.